UUUGUUUUUAAACACUUUCAGAUAUUGAGAUGAUGUUUGACAUGUGAGACUACCAUAAUGUUUGUGUUCACAUGUGUUAUUGAAAUUGCAGACUGUUCAACAUUUUGAGACGUGGCCAUACAUAGUUUUAAAAAGAGUAAUGCCCUAUGGAAAUAUUAAAUAAAUGCAACAAGUGGGACAUCGGAACUAUAUUCUUUUAUUUUAAUCUAAAAGUGUUUGAUGUCAAUUUAGUAUCGGUUCAGGUAUCAUAAAGAUUGAAUUAUAUUGAGAUAUUCAGCACCAGAGGAAAGGGGUACAUAAUUGUCCACGAUAGUAAAAAAUUCUGUCAAGCUUUGAAACAAAAAUUGUUUUUGACUAUUUUUCUAUUUAUCAAGAUUGAAACUAAAUAUCCACUGGAUUUCUUUAGUAAUUAUGAACCACAAACUUAAAUGUUCAAAGUAUCAAUUUUCUAUCAACCAACUUUCUAUCAAAUAUCCAC
rnacentral:lncRNA from 1 species